UGGGGAAUAUUGCACAAUGGGCGCAAGCCUGAUGCAGCCAUGCCGCGUGUGUGAAGAAGGCCUUCGGGUUGUAAAGCACUUUCAGCGAGGAGGAAGGGUAGUGUGUUAAUAGCACAUUGCAUUGACGUUACUCGCAGAAGAAGCACCGGCUAACUCCGUGCCAGCAGCCGCGGUAAUACGGAGGGUGCGAGCGUUAAUCGGAAUUACUGGGCGUAAAGCGCACGCAGGCGGUUUGUUAAGUCAGAUGUGAAAUCCCCGCGCUUAACGUGGGAACUGCAUUUGAAACUGGCAAGCUAGAGUCUUGUAGAGGGGGGUAGAAUUCCAGGUGUAGCGGUGAAAUGCGUAGAGAUCUGGAGGAAUACCGGUGGCGAAGGCGGCCCCCUGGACAAAGACUGACGCUCAGGUGCGAAAGCGUGGGGAGCAAACA
rnacentral:rRNA from 1 species